rnacentral:tRNA from 1 species
GGGCCCGUAGCUCAGUUGGCCUAGAGCGCCCGUCUUAUAAGCGGGAGGUCCUGGGUUCGAAUCCCAGCGGGCCCA